GCACUGAUGAAGAGUCCCAUAAUAGGACGAAACGGCCGUCCAGUGU
rnacentral:hammerhead_ribozyme from 1 species